UCUUUCUUUGCUGGCGACCGGCGCACGGGUGAGUAACACGUAUCCAACCUGCCCUUUACUCGGGGAUAGCCUUUCGAAAGAAAGAUUAAUACCCGAUAGCAUAAUGAUUCCGCAUGGUUUCAUUAUUAAAGGAUUCCGGUAAAGGAUGGGGAUGCGUUCCAUUAGGUUGUUGGUGAGGUAACGGCCCACCAAGCCUUCGAUGGAUUGGGGUUCUGAGAGGAAGGUCCCCACAUUGGAACUGAGACACGGUCCAA
rnacentral:rRNA from 1 species